GACGAACGCUGGCGGCGUGCUUAACACAUGCAAGUCGAACGGAAAGGCCCUGCUUUUGUGGGGUGCUCGAGUGGCGAACAGGUGAGUAACACGUGAGUAACCUGCCCUUGACUUUGGGAUAACUUCAGGAAACUGGGGCUAAUACCGGAUAGGAGCUCCUGCUGCAUGGUGGGGGUUGGAAAGUUUCGGCGGUUGGGGAUGGACUCGCGGCUUAUCAGCUUGUUGGUGGGGUAGUGGCUUACCAAGGCUUUGACGGGUAGCCGGCCUGAGAGGGUGACCGGCCACAUUGGGACUGAGAUACGGCCCAGACUCCUACGGGAGGCAGCAGUGGGGAAUAUUGCACAAUGGGCGGAAGCCUGAUGCAGCAACGCCGCGUGCGGGAUGACGGCCUUCGGGUUGUAAACCGCUUUCGCCUGUGACGAAGCGUGAGUGACGGUAAUGGGUAAAGAAGCACCGGCUAACUACGUGCCAGCAGCCGCGGUGAUACGUAGGGUGCGAGCGUUGUCCGGAUUUAUUGGGCGUAAAGGGCUCGUAGGUGGUUGAUCGCGUCGGAAGUGUAAUCUUGGGGCUUAACCCUGAGCGUGCUUUCGAUACGGGUUGACUUGAGGAAGGUAGGGGAGAAUGGAAUUCCUGGUGGAGCAGUGGAAUGCGCAGAUAUCAGGAGGAACACCAGUGGCGAAGGCGGUUCUCUGGGCCUUUCCUGACGCUGAGGAGCGAAAGCGUGGGGAGCGAACAGGCUUAGAUACCCUGGUAGUCCACGCUGUAAACGGUGGGUACUAGGUGUGGGGUCCAUUCCACGGGUUCCGUGCCGUAGCUAACGCUUUAAGUACCCCGCCUGGGGAGUACGGCCGCAAGGCUAAAACUCAAAGGAAUUGACGGGGCCCCGCACAAGCGGCGGAGCAUGCGGAUUAAUUCGAUGCAACGCGUAGAACCUUACCUGGGUUUGACAUGGAUCGGGAGUGCUCAGAGAUGGGUGUGCCUCUUUUGGGGUCGGUUCACAGGUGGUGCAUGGCUGUCGUCAGCUCGUGUCGUGAGAUGUUGGGUUAAGUCCCGCAACGAGCGCAACCCUUGUUCACUGUUGCCAGCACGUUAUGGUGGGGACUCAGUGGAGACCGCCGGGGUCAACUCGGAGGAAGGUGGGGAUGACGUCAAGUCAUCAUGCCCCUUAUGUCCAGGGCUUCACGCAUGCUACAAUGGCUGGUACAGAGAGUGGCGAGCCUGUGAGGGUGAGCGAAUCUCUGAAAGCCGGCCUUAGUUCGGAUUGGGGUCUGCAACUCGACCCCAUGAAGUCGGAGUCGCUAGUAAUCGCAGAUCAGCAACGCUGCGGUGAAUACGUUCCCGGGCCU
rnacentral:rRNA from 1 species